rnacentral:rRNA from 1 species
GUAGGGUGCGAGCGUUAAUCGGAAUUACUGGGCGUAAAGCGUGCGCAGGCGGUUCGUUAAGUCUGAUGUGAAAGCCCCGGGCUCAACCUGGGAAUGGCAUUGGAAACUGGCGAGCUGGAGUAUGGCAGAGGGGGGUGGAAUUCCACGUGUAGCAGUGAAAUGCGUAGAGAUGUGGAGGAACACCGAUGGCGAAGGCAGCCCCCUGGGCCAAUACUGACGCUCAGGCACGAAAGCGUGGGGAGCAAACAGGAUUAGAUACCCUGGUAGUCCACGCCCUAAACGAUGAUCCAUAGGUGUGGGGGGGGAGCGAUUCCUUGGUACCGUAGCUAACGCGUGAAGUGAUCCGCCUGGGGAGUACGGUCGCAAGAUUA